AACGAACGCUGGCGGCAGGCCUAAAACAUGCAAGUCGAACGAACCUUCGGGUUAGUGGCGCACGGGUGAGUAACACGUGGGAAUGUGCCUCUGGGUGCGGAACAACGUCGGGAAACUGACGCUAAUACCGCAUAAUGUCUACGGACCAAAGAUUUAUUGCCCAGAGAUCAGCCCGCGUCUGAUUAGCUAGUUGGUGAGGUAAUGGCUCACCAAGGCGACGAUCAGUAGCUGGUCUGAGAGGAUGAUCAGCCACACUGGAACUGAGACACGGUCCAGACUCCUACGGGAGGCAGCAGUUAGGAAUAUUGGACAAUGGGGGCAACCCUGAUCCAGCCAUGCCGCGUGUGUGAAGAAGGCCUUAGGGUUGUAAAGCACUUUCGGCUGUGAAGAUAAUGACAGUAGCAGAAGAAGAAGCUCCGGCUAAAUUCGUGCCAGCAGCCGCCUAA
rnacentral:rRNA from 1 species